rnacentral:rRNA from 1 species
UACGUAGGGUGCGAGCGUUAAUCGGAUUUACUGGGCGUAAAGCGUGCGCAGGCGGCCCGUUAAGACAGGUGUGAAAUCCCUGGGCUCAACCUAGGAAUUGCGCUUGUGACUGGCGGGCUCGAGUACGGUAGAGGGGGGUGGAAUUCCUGGUGUAGCAGUGAAAUGCGUAGAGAUCAGGAGGAACACCGAUGGCGAAGGCGGCCCCCUGGGCAAAGACUGACGCUCAGGCACGAAAGCGUGGGGAGCAAACAGG